rnacentral:rRNA from 1 species
UGGGGAAUUUUGGACAAUGGGCGCAAGCCUGAUCCAGCAAUGCCGCGUGCAGGAUGAAGGCCUUCGGGUUGUAAACUGCUUUUGUACGUAGCGAAAAGGUCUGCCCUAAUACGGUGGGCUCAUGACGGUACCGUAAGAAUAAGCACCGGCUAACUACGUGCCAGCAGCCGCGGUAAUACGCAGUUUUCGAGCGUUAAUCGGAAUUACUGGGCGUAAAUCGUGCGCAGUCGUUUAUAUAAGACAGAUGUGAAAUCCCCGGGCUCAACCUGGGACCUGCAUUUGUGACUGUAAAGCUAGAGUACGGUAGAGGGGGAUGGAAUACCGCGUGUAGCAGUGAAAUGCGUAGAUAUGCGGAGGGACACAGAUGGCGAAGGCAAUCACCUGGAACUGUACUGACGCUCAUGCACGAAAGCGUGGGGAGCAAACA